rnacentral:sRNA from 1 species
UAUUUGCAUUGCGUGAGGGAUAGCAGCGGCAUCCCUCCAACUUGAUUGGAGGAUAUAGCGGAUAGCCCGGUCCCGU